AUUGAACGCUGGCGGCAGGCCUAACACAUGCAAGUCGAACGAGUGGCGGACGGGUGAGUAAUGUCUGGGAAACUGCCUGAUGGAGGGGGAUAACUACUGGAAACGGUAGCUAAUACCGCAUAACCUCAGCUGAUCCAACAUGGGAUUAUCUAGUUGGUGGGGUAACGGCUAACCCAGGAUACGAUCCCUAGCUGGUCUGAGAGGAUGACCAGCCACACUGGAACUGAGACACGGUCCAGACUCCUACGGGAGGCAGCAGUGGGGAAUAUUGCACAAUGGGCGCAAUCCUGAUGCAGCCAUGCCGCGUGUAUGAAGAAGGCCUUCGGGUUGUAAAGUACUUUCAGCGGGGAGGCGUUACCCGCAGAAGAAGCACCGGCUAACUCCGUGCCAGCAGCCGCGGUAAUUC
rnacentral:rRNA from 1 species